GGAUAGCUGAAGGGAAUUGGUAUACCUUUCUGUCUUAGAAACAGAAGCUUCUCGGUUCGAAUCCGAGGUUAUCCACCA
rnacentral:tRNA from 1 species